rnacentral:ncRNA from 1 species
UCAAUAACAAAGACCAGAAGAGUAAUUUACAGUGUGUUCAAAGAGAUUGUCUGGAUAGUGUGAAGGCAAAACCGCUGUUGAUGAAACACAUCUGCGAGUUAGCAAGCUAAAUUAAACCUAUUAGGCUUGCUCGGGGAAAACCGUUAUCUGCUGAGUUCUGAAAAGAACUUGCUAAGGUCAGUUUUGUGAGAGACUGAUAUACCUUGAGGUGGAACCGCGCAGUAAAACGCCCUCUUA